UUUAAUGGGCUGAGAUUUUUAGGGACCUUGGAAUAAGGUGAAUGCAUUUUGUUCGUGAGACAGGUAUGAAUACUGGGGCCAGAGAAUGGUCUGUGGUAGGCAGAAUAAUGAUCUACCAAAGAUGCCUCCAGAACCUGUGAAUCUGUUACAUUACAUGGCAAAAAGGGACUUUGAAGAAUUGAUUAAAUUAAGGAUUAUGAGACAGGGAGAUUAUCCUACAUUACCUAAUAGGCCCAAUAUAAUCACAAGGUCCUUAAAAGUGGAAAGGGGGCCGGGCGUGGUGGCUCAUGCCUGUAGUCCCAGCACUUUGGGAGGCUGACGCAGGCAGAUCACUUGAGGUCAGGAGUUCAAGACCAGCUUGGCCAACACGGUGAAACCCCGUCUCUACUAAAAAUACAAAAUUAUCCAGACGUGGUGGCAAGCACCUGUAAUCCCAGCUACUCAGGAGGCUGAGGCAGGGGAAUCACUUGAACCUGGGAGGCGGAGGUUGCAGUGAGGCGAGAUCACACCAUUGUACUUCAGCCUGGGCAACAAGAGUGAAACUCCAUCAAAAAAAAAAAAAAAAGUGGAAGGGGAAGACAGAAGAGAGAAGCACAGGGAGAUUUUACUAUAGUAUGGUCAGUAAGAUGUAACUUUGUUGGUUUUGAAGAUGGAGGAAGGGGAAACCAAGAAAUGUGGGAAGCCUCUAGAAGGUGGGAAAGGCUGGGCAAUGAGUUAUCUCCUUGAGCCUCCAGAAAGGAACACAGAGGAAAAACAAUGGAGCAAAACUGGAAGCAAGGAGUUAAAAUAAGAGGCAGUUGCAAUACCCCCAAGCAAAAGAGGAUGGUAUGCUGAAUAAGCAGGGAAGGGGGAUCAUCUGUCACCUACUCUGUUUUCUGAACAUUCAUCCCACUCCCUGCCUUUCUUACAAAGUUCCUUCUGCCAAUUAACCGGGUGUGGUGGCGGGCGCCUGUAUUCCCAGCUACUUGGGAGGCUGAGGCAGAAGAAUCGCUUGAAACCGGAAGGCAGAGGUUGCAGUGAGCAGACAUUGCGACACUGCACUCCAGCCUGGGCGAAAGAGCGAAACUACAUCUCAAACAAACAAAACGAAGUUCCCUUCUGCCGAAAACAAAUAUCCAAAGCGUUCUGGGCACUGUGCUAAGUACUUCAUGGUCAUCAAGAGACACUAUUCUCCCCAUCUCACAAAUGAGGAAACUGAGGCUUAAAGAGAUGAAAUGACUUGCCCAAGGUCACAGUCAGUAUGUGGUAGAACCAGGAUCCAAGUCUAGCUGAAUCCAAAUUCUAAGUUCUAACUCCCCAGAAACCACGACUGCUCCCUCGCUGGGUUCCCACAGUGCUUUAUCUGCCUCUAUGCCCGUUUCAUCUCGCUAGCAGCUCCUGGAGAAAGGGGCUUUUAAUUCGUCUUGUCAAGCUGUCAUCAUGGUGUGCUGCCGCAGAGGACCACUAGGUGCCGCCAGAGCACCAGCCAGCCUGAUUUACUGCUCACCUGGAGUCGGUCUAAAGGAGCAACUGGUGGGGAAGGGAGCUGGGCCUUUUCUUCCUGCCCUGCAGCCCACCUCUCCUUCCUAUCGGAGGUGGGAAGAAACGACUGGAAGAUUGGAAGGUUAGAAAUUAGAGAUUUGGCCGGGCGUCGUGGCUCACGCCGGUAAUCCCAACACUUUGGGAGGCAGAGGCAGGUGGAUCACAUGAGGCCUGGAGUUCGAGAUCAGCCUGGCCAACAGGGUGAAACCCCGUCUCUACUAAAAAUACAAAAAUUAGCCGGGCGUGGUGGUGCACAUCUAUAAUCCCAGCUGCUCAGGAGGCUGAGGCAGGAGCUGAGGUUUGAACCCACGAGGCAGAGGUUGCACUGAGUCGAGAUGGCGCCACUGCACCCCAGCCUGGGCAACAGUCAGAGCUGGUCUCAAAAAAUAAAUAAAUAAAUAAAUAAAUUUAGAGAUCUGAGGAGUGUAAACUGGAGCAGCCCAGGGCUCAAGUCAAACAGAAGAUCCUAAGAGUUCUCUAAGAAAGCUAGAACCAGCAAAAUAAAAUAUUGCGGCAAACAUCUCCAGGCUGGGUCUCAGCCCCACUCCUCUGUCCUCCCUUUUUGUGCAGAUCCUAAAAUGCACAACCCUAUGCUGUGGCUGUAGUGGAAAGUGGGGAAAAUGUAUGUUACUGAGACCUAUCCAGAGCUAGAAACUGUGGGAAAACAGGUGUGUGUCCUUGGGGAAAUCACUUCACACCUCUAAGCUUCAGUCUUCUUGUAAAUAAAAUGAGGAUAGGCCCAGCACAGUGGCUCACGCCUGUAAUCCCAGCACUUUGGGAGGCCAAGGUGGGAGGAUCGCUUGAGCCCAGGAGUUCAAGACCAGCCUGGACAACAUAGUGAGACCUCUUCUCUAUUAAAAAUAAAUAAAUAAAUAAAAUGAGGAUAAUCAAGGGACCUACCUCGUUGAGCGGUUGUGAGGAGUUAAAGACAAAAUGCAUGUACCACACUGAUACAAUAUCUGUCAUAUAGCAAGUGCUUAAUAAAUAUUGUUAUAAACACAAUAAUUAUGAUAAUAUAAAUAUUUAAAUGAUAAGCAUUAUUGUUGUAUUUGUCAGGAUUCUCCAGAGAAACAGAACCAAUAGGAUAUAUAUAGAUAACGUAAGAGG
rnacentral:lncRNA from 1 species